UGGUGGCAGCUUGGUGGUCGUAUGUGUGACGCCAUUUACUUGAACCUUUAGGAGUGACAUCACAUAUACGGCAGCUAAACUGCUACAUGGGA
rnacentral:pre_miRNA from 10 species